ACGGCGUAAGCAUUACAAUCUUAUUUACUCUUUAAAUUUUUAUUUUAAAAAUCAUGUACGUUAUCUAAUUAUUAUAUUUUAUUGCAGGAGCUCAGACAUCUUCGUCUACGAUGAUCCGAUGCAGAUUUCUGGAGGACAGAGGACAUCCCAGAUAGAGUGUUAGAUUAUUUACGAUAUCUGAGAUUUUAUGGAGUAUAUCGGAUUGGUCGUAUACAGAUGGACGUUGGGCUUAUUACUGCUUUGCUUGAGAGAUGGCGUCUAGAGAC
rnacentral:lncRNA from 1 species